rnacentral:lncRNA from 1 species
CUCCCUCAGUGACUCUAGGACCCUCUCAAGUUCACAUUGCUGAGGAAUCAUUUCUGCCUUAACCCAAGAUUGUAUGUGUGUAUUCUUGCAUUAUUCUCGUGUGAGAUGGAAACCAGAAACACAGUCUUCCCUAUAUGAUGCUCUAUUUGUCAAAGAUGGAAAGCCAACAGCCAGCCUUUAAGAACAAAUGAUUGGAGGGUCAUUGAGAUGGCUGGAGGGUGGCUGAAGGCAUUACUGCAGAGGCCUUACAAGGGGCUUGAGUUCUUGAACGAGUUGUCCUCUGACCUUCACAUGUGUCCUGGCCUGUGCACACACACACACACACACACACACACACACACACACACACACAAACAAUCUUUUUUUUAAAAAAAUAAGAAUAAGCAGCAUGUGACAUGAAAGAGUUUUGUGGGAGCCAGCACAGUGAAUCACAGAAGAGGUGCUGUGGUUAAAAUGAAGUAACUAUUAGGGCUACUAAGGGCUACUCUGGUGGUCUUCUAGCACCAAGGGGUUCCCUUACUGCAACAUAUAUAGGAGAUUUGGAAAUGUGUAAGUGUAUAAUGAUGCCAGGGAGGCAUUUAUAGGGAGAACUUGGUGGGGUAUUAAAUACUGUACCUGCCAGGUGUCAGCCAUCCACCCCCAAAACAAGACGUUGCUUUGUUUCAUCCAGGACUCUAGAACUUCUUCUUCAUCCUUUAAAAGGGGGAGGGGUGAGUAUGAAGAUGCCUCAGCUAGUAAAUUGUCUCAAAAAGUAUUGACCUCUGGCUUCCAUAUGUGUGUGUGCACAUGCAUUCACACAUAAGAGUAGCCAUUUUUAAAGAGAGAACACUUAUCAAGUCUUACUGUUUCACAUUGCAGAAUGCGUCCAUUAUAUUUACAGGUCAUGAAUGCCUUCACAUAAGAAGCUUUAGAUUCAUGGCCAUCCUUGAUAGAGGUCAUGGAUGACCCUGAGGUCAUGGCCACACUUAAUCCUGGCAAGAAUGAUGGUAUCAUGGCAUUGUUUGGCCACCCACUGGUCAAUAUCAGGCUUGAGAUUUGUUAGUGGUCGGAUCCACGAGCUAUGGCUGAUGUAGAGGAUGAGCCACGUUUGUGGAUAAGGACAGUAAGAUGACUCCAUGCCCAUGGCUAGUAAAUCAGUGUUUGGACCAUCAGCCAACGGCAAGAGAUUAUCUGAGGCAGCAGAGCUUAACAGAAUGUCCGUUCCACUUCAACCAGCUGGAGGUUUCACCAGCAGAAGCAUCCAUGCGGUUGUCAGCUCACUAGUGUGUAACCCUGGCUUGUCUUGGAACUCUAUAGAACACGGUGGAGACACGGGUUUACAAAUGCAUGACUUCCCCUCUUUCCACUUCUUCUGCAUGGAGGUGAUCUUGAAUGAUGCUUCACCAAAAACAACAUACUUAGGGAAAUGUUGACAGACAAACAGACGUCUCAGUAAAAACACCUGUAGGUUUUGCAUGGAGAGGUCAAGACAGGGCCCAGUACAACUCAGAUAUGCAAAGACCCAGCCAGCAUUGUGUGCACUACAUUGACCUUGCCAUCUUGAGCUUCUAGGUGCUGGGGGGCAAUUACUUAAACUUGUUGUUCACCAUAAAACUAUCAACUGGGGUGUGGGUAUCAUAAACAGUGGAGAUGAGGAAGAGAAACGAUCUCUGCCAUGGAGACUUAUUUCUCCUCAUUGUCUCAAAGUCCGAAUGUUCUCCGCAGUAGCCAUGGGACCAUGAAUGCUCUCCGCAGUAGCCAUGGGACCAUGGCUCCCAACCCGGCAGCAUUUCAUUUGAUCACAAAUCUGAGAAAGAAUGAAGAUGCCAGAGCUCCUUCCCACGAGAGCAUCCUUUAGGGGAUAGUAAGGUAUCAUUCAUUACAGUAGGGCAUACUGAUUUGACUUGCCCAUUGGGUUCUAGUUGGUCAGAUUCUAAAAUACAAGACCGCUUUGCAUAACACUCAAGUUCUUGAGUCAGAGUACAUGUGUUUUAGAAACAUGUCAAGGAAUGUGAAUUGCUGCUGAUUUUCUUUUCUUUUUCUCUCCGUCCCUCCCUCUCGUUUGUUCAUUGACAGAGUUUCAUGUAGCCCAGGCUGGCUUCUAACUUACUAUGUAUCCAAGGCUGUCUUUGAACUCCUGAUCCUCCAGCUUCCACUUGGCUAAUGCUUGGGUUGCAGGUGUGUGUCACCAUGCCUGUCUUUAGUGUACUUUUUUAAAGGAAGCAGCAGCUGCUGUCAAUGAAGCCUGGGUUUGCAGAAAUAUGAAUUCAUCUUCAUAGUGUGGAGAAUGUUACCAUGACUUACAUUCCUCUACUGAUUUGUCAUGUAAUACAAAAGGUGGCAAGGGUGGGGGAGGGGAAGGAAAACCCGAGGUGAUGGACAGGUGGUUCAGUGGGUAGUCCUGUUUGCGGAGAAAGCAGGAGGAGCUAGUUUAAACCCUCACAUGUGCAAGGAGGAGAUCCUUGGAAAUUCCCUUGCCAGCCAGCCUACCUGAAACAGCAGCCCCUGGCCACCCCGCGCAUGUGCACACACAUGCACUUGUGCACAUACACAUGUAUAUACAACACACACCCC